AUAGCUGCAGACCUUACUGUUUCAGUUACAGCAACAGACACAAUGACAGAUGUUGGUGUUGAGGAGUUUCAGGAUACCACAGAUCUAUCAGAACCUGAAGGCGGCCACAGGCAAAAAGGGGGCGCCAGUAAACCACAGCACACGUCUGGAGCCGUCACUGAUCUGAGAAGACAACUUGCAGACAUGAAACAGGAACUAAGUGCCACCACGGAGAGGAUGCACAGACUUGAAAUCGCACAAAGCAAAGGUAACCCUG